rnacentral:rRNA from 1 species
UCUACAGAAUAUACUGCACGAAGGUUUUAUAAGUUCUGCUUCAGGGAUGUCAAAGCACACAAGACAUACAAUUGGCUAUGGAAAUCCAAGGUUACAAUCAAGAUAAAAGUUUUCGGUUGGCUUCUCCUCUCAGAUCGCCUCAAUACAAGAGAAAUGCUCAAGAGAAAACACUAUAAUGUGGGAGAUGAUCUAACCUGCCUCCUUUGCGGGCAAACAGAAGAAGAUGUGGACCACAUGAUCCUGAACUGCCCGUUCAGCAGGUACUGUUGGUCAAAACUUGGGAUGAACCCUGAACAUCAUCCCACACGGCUGACUUGGUUGGAAACAGCCAAACGCAAUUGGCACAAACCC